rnacentral:rRNA from 1 species
GACGAACGCUGGCGGCGUGCUUAACACAUGCAAGUCGAACGGAAAGGCCCUGCUUUUGUGGGGUGCUCGAGUGGCGAACGGGUGAGUAACACGUGAGUAACCUGCCCUUGACUUUGGGAUAACUUCAGGAAACUGGGGCUAAUACCGGAUAGGAGCUCCUGCUGCAUGGUGGGGGUUGGAAAGUUUCGGCGGUUGGGGAUGGACUCGCGGCUUAUCAGCUUGUUGGUGGGGUAGUGGCUUACCAAGGCUUUGACGGGUAGCCGGCCUGAGAGGGUGACCGGCCACAUGGGGACUGAGAUACGGCCCAGACGCCUACGGGAGGCAGCAGUGGGGAAUAUGGCACAAUGGGCGGAAGCCUGAUGCAGCAACGCCGCGUGCGGGAUGACGGCCUUCGGGUUGUAAACCGCUUUCGCCGGUGACGAAGCGUGAGUGACGGUAAUGGGUAAAGAAGCACCGGCUAACUACGUG